CUUCAUUUCGUGGCAUUUUGACAGACAACCAAGGCGGGUGUUCCAGACAGCAGGUGUUCUGUUCGGUUUUUUUUUUUUACGCAUUUCAUAUUCGGUUUUUAUGCUCUUUUCUUCCUCUGUUCAGGUGUUCGAGACCUUGGCUGAAGGCUGGAAUCGGAGGGAACGUCUGGGGACGAUCAGCCGAAGUCAUGGUUGUGAGAUCCAUAAAUUCCGGUGACCUUGGGAGGAUUACGCGGAUUUUUAUUGCCUGCACAAAGUCUAAAUGCAUAAGAUCAGAGAUAGUCUGUGAAGGAAGUCGUGAUCGAUUCGGAUCGAAAAUUGGAGUUUCAAAGUUCGCCAUGUAGGGAUUGAACUUGCGCCGUCGAAGUCAAAUGAACCGUUCAGCCGGCGACACGUGUCAGCGCACCAGCGCGUCUUCCCUCCCCAUGCGCGUCCGUACGCGCGCGUAAGCUCUUUUUUGUUCCGACUUCUAUUUUCGUGAUUCCAUUUCUAACCCUAUUUUUAUAUGA